GGUGACGACACUGUUCAGCACCAGACGUCCUCAAAGUGUGGAGCCAAAUUCAACUCACCGUCUCCUCCCCCGCCGGGCUGAGACUUACAGCGUGAGAGUAGGCGCCGUAGGCCCCAAACUGGAUGGUCAUGGGACUAAAGAUGCCGAGCUGACCCGCCAUCUGGUGCAUCCUGCGCAGAGUCCUCUCCUUGUCUGUGUCUGCGAAUUUGACCACCAGGCUGGACGAGGCCCCCUAAAGGGUGAGCUGGAGCCUAUCCCAGGGUGAGACGGUGCAGGACAUCAGUCAAGCACAGGUGUUGCCUUCAGGGCACAAACUCACAACCUUCUUUGGACUCAUCUCUUUGUUUUAUUGGACUGGAUCUCUCAAGAUUCAAGUAAGUAAAAUGCCUUAAAUGUUAUUUUGUAUGAUGAUUGUCUUUAACAUGUAUAUGUUUAGCUAUUGUGAAAUAUGUUACAUUGCAUUUGGUUUUGAGCAUGCAUUGUCUGUGAUACAACAAUGGGUGAGUGUACUCCUAAAAUAGUAGUUGCACCUUAUGAAUCACUUUAGGGGACGGCGUGGCGUACUUGGGAGAGUGGCCGUGCCAGCAACCUGAGGGUUCCUGGUUCAAUCCCCACCUUCUACCAACCAAGUCACGUCCGUUGUGUCCUUGAGCAAGACACUUCACCCUUGCUCCUGAUGGGUCGUGGUUAGGGCCUUGCAUGGUAGCUCCCGCCAUCAGUGUGUGAAUGUGUGUGUGAAUGGGUGAAUGUGGAAAUAGUGUCAAAGCGCUUUGAGUACCAUGAAGGUAGAAAAGUGCUAUACCAGUAUAAAACCAUUUACCAUUUAGGACAAUUGUCCUCUCACAUGUUUACAUAUGGACAUGUAUAGAGGUGGAAAUAUAAUGUAUUUGAUG